AUUGUGUCAUAAACUAGAAAACGAGUAAAAGAUUACAAGGUCUUCUUGACUCUUGAAUGAUCCUUCCACAUUAGAGUCACAUUUGUCCAAGGUCUCUUGCAAGGGUCCUAACAACCGUCUCUAAGUCCUUUGUCCAAAGUUCUCUCCAUACUUGGGAAAUUAUCUUCUUUUUUGUAUUUUUUAAAGUCUUGACCAUCUUUAGAUACCGAAGGAUCAGGCAUAGUGUCCAAUCAAACCACUACUGCAGCCACGGGAUGUAUAUCCCCUGCAUUCAUCUUCCUAUGAAAAAAGUUCCCAUUCAAAAGAAACGCAAUGCAAUACCUAAACGACUCUGCCGCGCCGGAGUUCAUUGCCGACGGCGGCGGAGCUCCCACUAGACUCGCGCCUCCCUCUCCUAAUCAGAAUCAGAGCACCAAGGUCAACCAAACAAGAUGAAAUCCGCUCGCGAUUCUAACUCUACACGCAUCGAAUACGAAAAUAAGAAGUGAAACAACGCGACUCACCUAAUCGAAACAGAUGGAACGGUGUGGAGUUAUGCAGGUGGUGGCGGCGAUGAUGAGGGAGAUAGAAGCGUCAAGGUUGAGAAAACGGUUAUGGAGGUUGUGUGAGGAACGGUUAUGGAGAAAAGCGAUGACGGAUGAAGAAGAGGAAUUCUGAAAAGAAAAAUGGCGAGAGCCAGUUUCAUUGUUCAUUCUUGUAUUUGUAGCCUUUUAGAGAUUAAAUUUGGGUGGUGAUUUCAUUUGCCAUUUCCGCUUGUGCAAGUCAGGUUUCCGUUUGCGAUUUAAUUUUCCGCUGCAACUCAUGGCUUAUCUUUGGGAGCUUUUGGAAGUAACUCGUUUGCAAGUUGCCGUUUACGUAGGCUUUUGGAUUGUUAUCUGCAACGGUUCUUAUUGAUGUUGGCUUGUGCUUGUUUUCGGUUAGUGGCUUAUGCAGCAUCUUGCGCGGCUUUGGUUGCAGCAGAUUAUUAUGGAUUUGAUUUGUACUUGGAAGUGUUAGCUACAAUUUUGGGAUUGUGUUUGUACGCCGCACUUGGAAGUGUGGGCUUAAGUUUUCACAACGUGCGUUUUGCUCUGUAGGCUCUUGUUGUAGCAGCUUUUGCAGCCUGCAUUUUUUGCUUUAUUUGCACGGCUAGUUUGCGCUUUACUGCGUUUUGGCUUAGCAGUUGUUCAGCUGCUUCAACCCUUUUUCCAUAUGCGUUUCAAGUUGUACCGCUAUUGUAACCGAAAUUCCUGCGUUUCCAUUCCUUAUUAUUUUCUUCUCCUUCUUUUUUUAUUCAAACUUAAUGGACUUAUGAAUUACUGUUAAUUGAAGUAGAAUUGAACA